rnacentral:tRNA from 1 species
GCGGGUAGCUCAGUUGGUCAGAGCACUUGGUUUACACCCAAGAUGUCGUGGGUUCGAGCCCCGCUCCGCC